GACACCCCCCUUUAAGUCAGAGCUGGAAGAAAGAGCGUCAAUCACGGGAUAAUUUAUGCAGCAUGAUAUGCCUUUAUUAUUCCACGCUGAGUCGGGGCUCCUACUGUCCAAUGAAGGUCAAAAGGAGAGGCAAAGAGAAGUGGUUUGAAAUCAGGAGUUUCAUGCCUUGGGAGAAAUAAAGGUUGGGACCAGACUCUUUUCCUUUUGAUGCAGUUUCUCUGCGAAGCCCUGGCUCUGAGAAGUUACUGGGUUUGCGUUCCCAUGAAAACGCGUCUUGUUUCGUUCUUGUCCUAAAAUCCUUUUUCAACAGAUCCAAAUUCUUCUGAGGCCCGUCUCGCCUUUCUUCUAACCUCUCCCUAGUUUGAUCAAAGGCCUGGGAUGUCUGUAAAGGCAUGAGGAGGGCGUGGCAACUGUGAACUAUCAGCAAUUGCUUCCUCUCGUGUGACUCAGUUUCCUCGUCUGCACAGGAGGACACGCAGAGUCCGGGGCCCAGAGAGAAGUGACCCUAAUGACCUCAUUAGGCUCUGAGGAGCACUUUAAGGAGAUCAUCAGCCAUGCACCUAAUGGACAGGGUGACAAUGAUCUUAUUUCCUUUAUUAUUUACUUAGCCCCAGCAGUUUACAGCUGAGGCCAGCAUGUGGUUGUGGUCGCGUUAAUCUUUAACCCAUUAGCCACGGAUUGAUUCGAUGACAUUGCUGGGUUUAUAGGUAGUCAUUAUAUUGAUCUUUAUUUGCUGUACAUUUUGUGAAGUAAUUAAGGGCCACAUCAUUCCCCUUCUGAAAAUGCCUAUUGGGAAGACAAAUCUUGAUGCAUUGGGGUGUGUGUGUGUGUGUGUGUGUGUGUGUGUGUGUGUGUGCGUUGUGUGCGUGUGUGUUUAUUAAAUUCCUCACUUUGCAGAAAAGGUAGAAAUCACCUGUGGUCAAAGUUACUCUGAAAACUGCUGAAAUCCUCCAUGAAGUGCUGUAUCUGUAGCUGUGUAAAUAUCACUGUAUCACUUCCAUGGUGAAAACGCUCAUCAGCAGCAGGAACACGUUCCUAUUGCUCUGGACAUCAGAUGAAGUACUUGCUUGGUAUGAUGUGAACACAUGAAGUGAAUUUUUUUUUAUCUUUAAACACUAGGAUUGUGCUUCUCAGGGCAGGAUGCUCAGAGGUGCCCCACCCUAUUUAAAUCUCUCUUGUUAAAAUAAAAUGUGAUUAAAUCGAAUGCCCUUGUCAUGUGACCCCCACAGACACAGUUUUUCUUGUGCCAUCUGUUAAGUGUUAUGUUAACUCCAAA
rnacentral:lncRNA from 10 species